rnacentral:rRNA from 1 species
UGGGGAAUUUUUCGCAAUGGGGGAAACCCUGACGAAGCAACGCCGCGUGGAGGAUGAAGGCCUUCGGGUUGUAAACUCCUGUCGACCGGGACGAAAGCGGUUCGACCCAAUACGUCGAGCCGUCGACUGUACCGGUGGAGGAAGCCACGGCUAACUCUGUGCCAGCAGCCGCGGUAAUACAGAGGUGGCAAGCGUUGUUCGGAAUUACUGGGCGUAAAGGGCGCGUAGGCGGCCCCAUAAGUCCCGUGUGAAAUCCCCCGGCUCAACUGGGGAACUGCACGGGAAACUGCGGGGCUUGAGUUCGGGAGAGGGAAGCGGAAUUCCGGGUGUAGCGGUGAAAUGCGUAGAUAUCCGGAGGAACACCGGUGGCGAAGGCGGCUUCCUGGACCGACACUGACGCUGAGGCGCGAAAGCUAGGGGAGCAAACGGG